ensembl:lncRNA
AUGGUGAUCCUGCAUAGCUGGAACAAGACAGAGAGGAGUUCUCACAAGGCCCCGGAAGACAAAUCAAUUGGAGAUAAAUCUGCUCCAGUAGAAAAGCAGAGCCAAUUAUUCAGAUUUCAAAAAAGUGGGGAGGAUGUUUUACAUCAAAUUAGAAGAUUGGAUGGGAAGAGGGACCUAGAAGUGUUAGAAAAGAGGCGGUUACUCAUGAUUAAAAACAUCCAUGAUGAUCAAGCAAGAAAAGGAGGGCUGAGCAUUUCAGAAAGAGCCAUGAUGUUCCGACACAAUGAGCUAAAAUUGAAGGAGAAGGUUCCUAUGGCCUCGCCCUUAACAUCAAUCCCUCCCAAGCUUUCCUCUUUUGAUUUAUUGUCCUCCCGUUCAGAACCUCGUAGAACCCCCAAAGGAAUGCAUUUACCUGCUACAGAAGUUGCCGCGGCUGAUGGUUCUCAUCUCACAGGUGCUCCUUUGGAUGGGAAAUUUAGUAGAUCUUUCAGCAGCAAAGGUAAAAGGAGUGAAAAGCAGAUGUUGAGAAGGGCUGAACCUCUUCCUGACACCAUCACAAAUUUACCUGCGAUGACAUCGCCACAGAACAGGCAGAAGAAGCAGCUUCCAGAAACUAACCAGAGUAACAGAAUAAUAACUUUAGGGCUUGAAGACACCAACAUAUUGAGUCACAUCAACGCUGAAACAAAGGAAGGUCACAGCUCCUCCCAGAUGAAGCCUGAAGCAUCAGUAGAUCCACCUGCGUGUAAAGAUGUCCAAAAAGUAGCUUCUUCUCCUGAUUCACCCAACAUACGUUUUACUGAUGGAGUGAGCUGUCAGGCUUUGGUAGGCAGGGACACACAAACACAAAUAUUAUAUUCAGAAAGCCUGGAAAGACCAGACAACCAACUUUAUCCUCAAACCCACUGUAGGGAGGCAGAGGUUAGCAAGGAGAAAGUAAUGCAGGCAGGAAGAAAGUCAGACAGCCGUGAGAUUUUAAAUUCGCUUUCUGAUCAGGCAUCUCAAGCCACCACACUUGAGAAGGAGGAUUCCUGUUCAGCAGAAGAAGCUGAGCUGGUAGGUACCCAUUCAGUAUCAAGCUCAAAAGGAGGCAGCAUUGGAAAGAUGGACAGUUUCAGAAAAAAUGAUUUGCAAGACCCCCAUUGGACCGGCAACACAUCCCCAAUUACUGAUGAAAACUUAGAAGCAAUAAAAAUGGCCCACUCAAAUGGAGAAUUGGCAAGGAAAGUUUGCAGUGAAAAUAAUGUUCAGCUUAAAUCCCAGGAAGAUUUAUCUGGAGGGACCACCAUCUCUCAGGCUUCCAGACCUCCAGCCAAAGAGCCGAAAGCACCCAAGUCCUGUGAGAUCCCGUAUUGGACUGAAUAUCAAGUGACAGGAGAUGUAAAGGUAGAGACGAAGAAAAAGCAACUGCUGAAAAAAGAAAUGACACCUUUUCCUUCUUUCUUUGACUCUAAAACUCUAGGCAUUGCUCCCAAGGAGCCACCAGCCACAGAGAUUAAGAAAGCACCAAAGAUUCAGUCUGCUUUAGUCACUUUAUUUGGAUAUUCCUCAGAUAAAGAGAAGAAUGAAAAGCAGCAGGCAGGGAAAACACCAUCACAGCUUUCAGCGGAAGCAGGUGAUGGAAGCAGACCCCAGGCGGUGUGUUCCUCAAACCUCCCCAAACCUGGAAGUUCAAAGAAAGUGGAAGUUCCAGAAAUUAGAACUCUGGUGACAACGUCAGAAGGAGACCUACAGGAUUCAGAGGAGGGGAAAAUCUCAAGAGAUGGGCAAAGAGAAAACCUUCCGUCCUUGGAGAGUGAAAAAGCCUUCCAUGUCAACACACCUCCUGUAGAGCAGAGAACAGAUUUUCCAAGCAGCCUUUUACCAGCAAUAACCAACGCCGGAGAUCCCAAACGAUCCGGUUCGAAUACGGGACCUCCACUCAGAAGCCAGAGCAAAUCCUCGUUGUCACCCAACUUCCAGACCGAUCUAACAGCUCCGGGCAAAACAAGAAGUGGUCUUUAUGAUCAAGGUUUACGUAGCUUUCCCAGUUUGGAGGACCAUGAUUUUGAAUUAAAGGCUGGAAAUAUAUCUUUAUUAAGCCCUUCAGGAGAAAGCAAGGUUCCGUUAUUAGACCAAGAUGGUCGGAUUCCUGACAUGCUUUUAUUUUCAGCGGGAGCAAGGGUGCCCGUGAAUUCACAGGAAGGAGAGCCACAACACAGCCCUCAUUGGGGCACGGAAAUUAAAGAUGGACCUCUUCCAGAAACAGGAAGUCCUGUGUUAUUUCAGCACAGUGACCCACAAUUCUGCCUUCAGUCCAGCACAGGUAAUCCUGGUGGAUUAGAUUUCCGUGGUGAACAUGUGACUACCGACAAUGACCGCUCCCGAGGAGAUGACUUCCCCUCUUUGCCUGCACCCUUACUGCAUAUACCAGAGCUCCUUCGAGACACCAUUCAGAGCAAGGCUGAAAAUAGAGAUCUUGGCAUGGGAAGACCUCAAGAAGAUCCACUCUGA